rnacentral:rRNA from 2 species
UAGGGAAUCUUCCGCAAUGGACGAAAGUCUGACGGAGCAACGCCGCGUGAGCGAAGAAGGUCUUCGGAUCGUAAAGCUCUGUUGUUAGGGAAGAACAAGUAUCGUUCGAAUAGGGCGGUACCUUGACGGUACCUAACCAGAAAGCCACGGCUAACUACGUG